rnacentral:rRNA from 1 species
ACAGGUGGUGCAUGGUUGUCGUCAGCUCGUGUCGUGAGAUGUUGGGUUAAGUCCCGCAACGAGCGCAACCCUUGUCUUUAGUUGCCAUCAUUAAGUUGGGCACUCUAGAGAGACUGCCAGGGAUAACCUGGAGGAAGGUGGGGAUGACGUCAAAUCAUCAUGCCCCUUAUGCUUAGGGCUACACACGUGCUACAAUGGGUAGUACAGAGGGUUGCCAAGCCGUAAGGUGGAGCUAAUCCCUUAAAGCUACUCUCAGUUCGGAUUGUAGGCUGAAACUCGCCUACAUGAAGCUGGAGUUACUAGUAAUCGCAGAUCAGAAUGCUGCGGUGAAUGCGUUCCCGGGUCUUGUACACACCGCCCGUCACACCACGGGAGUUGGAGACGCCCGAAGCCGAUUAUCUAACCUUUUGGAAGAAGUCGUCGAAGGUGGAAUCAAUAACUGGGGUGAAGUCGUAACAAGGUAGCCGUAUCGGAAGGUGCGGCUGGAUC